rnacentral:lncRNA from 13 species
CCGGUGACAAUGUCUGUGAUUUAUUUAGAAUUCAAGGCACAUUUAACCAGCAUGGCUAUCACAGCAUUCUGCAGUGAUACGCCAUCCCACCUGGUUUGGGCUUAGUGGGACUACCAAUUGUUUUUCAACAGGACAAUGACUCAACACACCUCCAGGCUGUAUAAGGGCUAUUUGAGCAAGAAGGGGGAGGAUGGAGUGCUGCAUCAGAUGACCUGGCCUCCACAAUCACCUGACCUCAACCAAAUUGAGAUGGUUUGAGAUGAGUCGGACCGCAGAGUGAAGGAAAUAGCAGCAAACAAGUGCUCAGCAUAUGUGGGAACUCCUUCAAGACUGUUGGAAAAGCAUUCCAGGUGAAGCUGGUUGAGAGAAGGCCAAGAGUGUGCAAAGCUGUCAUCAAGGCAAAGGGUGGCUAUUUGAAGAAUCUCAAAUAUAAAAUAUAUUUUGAUUUGUUUAACACUUUUUUUGGUUACUACAUGAUUCCAUAUGUGUCAUUACUAUUACUCUAUAAUGUAGAAAAUAGCAAAAAUAAAGAAAAACCCUUGAAUGAGUAGGUGUUGUAAAACUUUUGCCUGGUCAUGUACCUCUCUGACUGUAUCCUAUAUGGUGGUAGCGGAAGGUUGUAUUGAACCCUCAUAUUAACCCUUAACUCUUUCUUUGUAAGGGGACACUACUUGGUUGCAGGAUGACUGUGAAGACAUUAGAACCCAUGAAUGUCCGGCUGGGUAAGAGAUCCCAUUUACACACUUCAGACCUUUUUAUAUAAAAAAACAUGUUUUUGUUUAACCUUUCACAACUAUUUCACAGCGAUUCACAAAAAAAAAACCCCGUAAGAACAUCAGAGAUAAUCUCAUGAUCUUUUGUCCCCAGGUUUGUCCGUCCCCCUCUCAUCAUGGUGUCAGUGGAUGGGUUCAGAGCCUCNNNNNNNNNNCCCAGACACAACACCCCAGACACAGCCUCCCAGACACAGCACCCCAAACACAGCCUCCCAGACACAGCACCCUAGACACAGUAAAGCCAUUGAUACACAGCACCCCAUACAUUUUGUUCAGUGAUCUCCAUUUUGUCCUCCAUAUAAUGAACUCAUCUGAUGUGUCUUUCCAGGUCCAUCCCGUUGGAGAGGAGAGUGCUGACCAUGCUACAAUGGCUUCAUCUGCCAGACGGAGAGAGGCCGUAUGUUUACGCCAUGCACUCCGAGCAGCCGGACACGUUUGGCCACAAGCUGGGGCCCAUGAGCACUGAGGUGAGCUGGAGGCUGGGGGCU